CGAACGGGUGAGUAAUGCGUGACCAACCUGCCCCAUGCUCCAGAAUAGCUCUUGGAAACGGGUGGUAAUGCUGGAUGCUCCAACUUGACGCAUGUCUUGUUGGGAAAGUGUUUAGUGGCAUGGGAUGGGGUCGCGUCCUAUCAGCUUGUAGGCGGGGUAAUGGCCCACCUAGGCUUCGACGGGUAGCCGGCCUGAGAGGGCGGACGGCCACAUUGGGACUGAGAUACGGCCCUUACUCCUACGGGAGGCAGCAGAG
rnacentral:rRNA from 1 species